AAAAAGCAAAGAAAACUGGCCUAAUCGAAUCAUGCACCGUUUAAAAGAAGCUCAACGCGUCAAGAUAGGGUCUAGGGACUCCAUUUCUCGCUUCUGAAUCAACUUUACCUCUUCGGAUUUCGCAGAUUUCUCUCAUAAACCAGCCAAAGCAACGCUCGCGAUUCUUUCAUCUCAUUUCAGCUGAACGUAUUUUCUUGGAAAACAUAUUCAUCUCUUGACCUGUUUGAGAAGAGGAAAAAGAGAGGUCAACAGAAAAGGAAGCCGAUAAUACUGAAUGUAUUUUCUUGGAAAACAUAUUCAUCUGUUGACCUGUUUGAGAAGGGGAAAAAGAGAGGUCAACAGAAAAGGAAGCUGAUAAUACUGAACGUAUUUUCUUGGAAAACAUAUUCAUCUCUUGACCUGUUUGAGAAGGGGAAAAAGAGAGGUCAACAGAACAGGAUCCUUCAACGUCGAUCAUCUUCAUCCUUCGUUUUCCUCCAUUACCCCUACAUCAAAGCCAUGACUGAAGAAUCAGGUAUGUUUAUGGUUCCCCAAACAGUUGGAAGCGUUCUUUGUUGCAGAUGCGGCAUUCCAAUGGCACCAAAUGCUGCCAAUAUGUGUGUCAAGUGUUUGCGCUCCGAAGUUGACAUCACGGAAGGUCUUCAGAAGCAUGUAAUCAUAAUCCAUUGCCCUGAGUGUGACAGCUACUUGCAGCCACCGAGAACUUGGCUCAAAGCCCAAUUGGAAUCGAAGGAGCUGUUGACAUUCUGCGUAAAGAGGCUGAAGAAUUUGAAUAAAGUAAGAUUGGUGCAUGCGGAGUUCAUUUGGACCGAACCCCAUUCCAAGAGGAUCAAGGUCAGAUUGAAAGUUCAGAAAGAGGUUCUUAACGGAGCAAUACUUGAACAAUCGUAUGUGGUCGAGUAUGUUCAGCAAGAACAUAUGUGUGAACCCUGUUCAAGGAUUCAGGCCAAUCCAGACCAGUGGGUUGCAGCCGUGCAACUGCGCCAACAUGUUUCUCACAGGCGUACUUUCUUUUACUUGGAGCAGCUGAUUCUGAAGCACAAUGCUGCUGCCUCUUCCAUAAAGAUCAAGCAGAUGGAUCAAGGGAUCGACUUCUUUUUCUCGAACCGGAGUCAUGGUGUGAAGUUUGUGGAGUUCGUUGGUAAAGUUGCUCCAAUUAGGAGUCGCAAUGACAAACAGCUUGUUUCCCAUGAUACUAAGAGCAAUAACUACAAUUACAAGUACACUUUCUCUGUUGAAAUCUGUCCGAUAUGUCGUGAGGAUUUGAUCUGUUUGCCUCCAAAGGUUGCAGCUAGUUUGGGAAAUCUAGGUCCUCUUGUGAUUUGCACCAAAGUCACCAACAGCAUUGCUUUGCUUGACCCUUUCACCUUAAGGAUCAGUUUCUUGGAUGCUGAUCAGUAUUGGAGGGUGCCAUUCAAAUCUCUAUCCACUAGCAGGCAACUAGUGGAGUAUAUAGUGUUAGAUGUGGAGAUUGUUUCUUCUGAAGUUAACGUUGGUGGCUCCAAGUAUUUCUUAGCUGAUGCACAAGUGGCUCGUGUAUCAGAUUUUGGGAAAAAUGAUACAAUUUUCUCCAUAAGAACGCAUCUGGGCCAUCUUUUGAACCCUGGGGAUUAUGCCCUUGGUUACGACUUAUAUGGAGCUAACAGUAAUGAUGGUGAGCUAGAGAAGCACAAGGGUCUGAUCCUCCCAGAGGCAAUUCUGAUAAAGAAGAGCUACGAAGAGAAGCGCCAGAAGAAGCGCGGGAAGCCUCGUGCAUGGAAGCUUAAAUCCCUUGACAUGGAAGUUGAUGAUAGGAAGGGAAGAGCUGAGCAUGAGAAGAUGAACACCGAGUAUGAACACUUCUUGAAAGAUUUGGAGGAGAACCCUGAAAUGAGGUUUAAUAUAUCAUUGUACCGUAAUAGAGAUUACCAGCCAUCAGAGAUGACGUCUGUGGCUGAUGGAGAUGACUUGCCUUCUGUUCCACUGGAAGAGUUGCUUGCUGAUCUCGAACUAAGUGAAGAGGAGGAAGGUGAGAGUCAUAGCAUGAUGGAGUGAUGAGAAGCUUUUGCUCUUAAAACAAAUUUUCCUUCCUCUGAACUUUUAUCGUAUAAGUAGCAUUUGCAUUGUCUUUUUUUUCUUUGCAUUGUUGGUCAGGGUCGCUUGUUUUUCAGUAACUAAAUUAUAUUUUUGCAGUAGAUGGUUUUUUCCCUGUUUUGUUCCCCUUCUCUAUUGUAAUGGCCGUUAUGUUUUAAUGUUGUAAGUUGAUUUAUUCUUGAUAGUCAUGUUUUGGGAUUGUUGGAUAUGAUGGAAGUAUAAAUGCAAUGUUUUAAAUGAAAUAAA